GGGGGCGAAAUGGCUUCGACGGAAAUAAAGAAGCAUUGGCUGCAUACCGAGCUCCUGCCUACUCGUAAAAAAGGUUGGGACAUAAAUAUAAUCGCAGAUGAUUAUAAUUACGCUUUAGCCGCUUAGGCUAACGUUCUGCCGGGUUAUUCCUGCGCAUCCGGUAAGGGCGACGAUUAGCAGGAUAGCUUUUCCUGAUUUCCUGUUUCAGGAUUAAGAACGAGGACGAAAUAACUUCCCCGUUCCUUAGCGAAACUUAAACAGGAUAGCUUUUCAAGCAUCCUGCCUGGAGGAGACUUGAAUAGGCGAAAACUAAAGUUCAGGCUAAGUAUGUAGAUGCCUGUGUGGAAUAUUUUCGGACGCGGGUUCGACUCCCGCCGCCUCCACCA
rnacentral:tmRNA from 1 species